rnacentral:rRNA from 1 species
UACGUAGGGUCCGAGCGUUGUCCGGAAUUACUGGGCGUAAAGAGCUCGUAGGCGGUUUGUCGCGUCUGCUGUGAAAACCUAAGGCUCAACCUUGGGCUUGCAGUGGGUACGGGCAGACUAGAGUGCGGUAGGGGUGACUGGAAUUCCUGGUGUAGCGGUGAAAUGCGCAGAUAUCAGGAGGAACACCGAUGGCGAAGGCAGGUCUCUGGGCCACUACUGACGCUGAGAAGCGAAAGCAUGGGGAGCGAACAGG